rfam:Pan troglodytes isolate Yerkes chimp pedigree #C0471 (Clint) chromosome 4, whole genome shotgun sequence.
GUGAGCCACCACACCUGGUCACAUAUAUUAAAAUUGGAAUGUUACAGAGAAGAGUAGCAUGGCCCCCAUGCAAGGAUGACAGGCAAAUUUAUGAAGUGUUCCGUAUUUUU